AGUGAAUUUGGUGAGGAGUCGAUUGAGAGGAUUAAAUCCUCUCAAAGAGGCUGAAUACUACGUGAGGCUGGCUAAAGACAAGGAAAGCAUCACUUGGAAAUAUAUCAGUCAAACUAAAGGACGAGGUGUGUUUGCAAAAGACCCUAUUACAAAAGGGUCAUUCAUUGUUGAAUACCGUGGUGUUUUAAGCAAGAUAACGCACUCUUUUGAACCAACAACUGAAUACACAUAUAUUUUUAAGCACAAUGGAAAUGAAUACUGCAUUGAUGCAUCAGCAGAGGAUGGAUCGCUUGGAAGGCUACUUAAUGAUGAUACAAAGCCAAAUUCCAAGAUGAAGAAAAUUGUGCUGGAUGGUGUACCUCAUCUUUGUUUAUUCGCUAUUACUGACAUAAAUGAAGGUCAAGAAAUUACUUACGACUACGGAGGAGAUGACUUGCCAUGGCGUUCUAAACGCAGUAUA